AUUGAACGCUGGCGGCAUGCCUUACACAUGCAAGUCGAACGGCAGCACGGGAGCAAUCCUGGUGGCGAGUGGCGAACGGGUGAGUAAAGUAUCGGAACGUGCCCAGUCGUGGGGGAUAACGUAGCGAACGUUACGCUAAUACCGCAUACGAUCUAUGGAAGAAAGCGGGGGAUCGCAAGACCUCGCGCGAUUGGAGCGGCCGAUAUCAGAUUAGGUAGUUAGUGGGGUAAAGGCUCACCAAGCCUACGAUCUGUAGCUGGUCCUGAGAGGACGACCCGCCACACUGGGACUGAGACACGGCCAAGACUCCUACGGGAGGCAGCAGUGGGGAAUUUUGGACAAUGGGCGAAAGCCUGAUCCAGCCAUGCCGCGUGCAGGAUGAAGGCCUUCGGGUUGUAAACUGCUUUUGUACGGAACGAAAAGGUUUGGCCUAAUAAGCUGAGCUCAUGACGGUACCGUAAGAAUAAGCACCGGCUAACUACGUGCCAGCAGCCGCCGUAA
rnacentral:rRNA from 1 species